GGCUCUGUUCUCAGCAUCACUCCUAGAGUUCCAUUUGCUUUUGAACGCCAUUUUAUGGUGUUGUCAUUGACUCAAGUCAGGAAAACUAGAAUCUCAUGGUUCCCAAGACCAAGACAAAUUUCUUAAUAGGAUCCUUGAUCAUUAGCAGCUUGAGGGAUGCCUUCCUAAUCUCCAAUAUCUUAAUUCCCUGAGUUUAGAGUAGAUUACUUGUCUUUUUAUUUUCAGUUUUUCAAUCUGCCUGGAACUCUAAUGAGAAAUACAAAUGAAUAGAGCAAAAUUUUCAGGUCUAUGAUGAGCAUGCUCUUCAGUAUUAAUUCUUCAAAUUAUAUUUCUCUAAAGGGAAGUAGAUGUUACCAGGAAAGUUGAGGUAAACACGGGCUACUUUGAAUAUUUAUAGUAAACUUGGUAAUACUGCAGUUCUGCUUCACAAUUUACUUUUACUCUUCAAUAUCAAUGAAAAAAGUGAUGGGAGGACAAAAAAUAUAUACAGCAAUUCAACGUAUAUCUACAAAUUUAUGAGAAGCUGAAUUCCCUCUAUUUAGAGGUCAGUUACUCCUACUGAAUAAUGAAUAGGCUGUAGCAGAUGUAACAAUGGAUGACUUAUAAGAGUAGGUCAUAGAAGACAUUACAAACCACCUCCUUGGUCUCUCACUUUGAUCAUUUCAGCUUAGGGGGAAGCCAGAGCUCCCAUGUCACAAAAAAUUUGAGCAGCUCCAUAGAAAUGUGUGUGUGCUGGGGAUAUUGAGGUGCCAACAAGCCUUUCCAGUGAGCCAUAUUGGAAGUGGCUCUUCUAGUCCCUGCUACUUCAGUUGACUGCUGCCUGAGCCAUGUGGACUGAAACCUUCUGAGAGAUCCUGAGCAGAAUCACCUAACCUGGUCCCUCCCAGCUGACCCACAGAGACUUUGAGAUCAAUGUUUCUUAUUUUAAGAUGGAAGGGAUGAAAGCUGUAUGGAUGCAUGUGGACAAGGGUUAGUGAUGGGAUGGCCAACCACACACACCUGACUGAACUGAGAAUGAAAUAGGAGUCUCCCAGAUGGCACAUGGCUUCCAAGGAGUACAAGCCCCAGCCCCCGAGUCUGGAAGUGGGGCUGGGCACGUGGAACUUGAAUAUGAAGGGCUGACUUUGGAAGUGCUCUGAGAAUGCUUUUCCACAAAGAAGAGAACCACAUGAGAAUUCAAGAGAACGUGAUUAAUCUUCUAAUUAUGUCAUUCAUUGGGAUACCUACUAUUGCUGAAUUCAUUUUGUCUGUGAAAAAAGUAGAAAAUAAUAUA